rnacentral:rRNA from 1 species
GUUUGAUCCUGGCUCAGGAUGAACGCUGGCGGCGUGCUUAACACAUGCAAGUCGAACGAACCUUCGGGUUAGUGGCGGACGGGUGAGUAACGCGUGGGAAUCUGCCCUCAGGAGGGGGAUAACGGCUGGAAACGGCCGCUAAUACCCCAUAUGCCGAGAGGUGAAAUGAAUUUCGCCUGAGGAUGAGCCCGCGUCUGAUUAGCUAGUUGGUGUGGUAAUGGCUCACCAAGGCUUCGAUCAGUAGCUGGUCUGAGAGGAUGAUCAGCCACACUGGGACUGAGACACGGCCCAGACUCCUACGGGAGGCAGCAGUGGGGAAUUUUCCGCAAUGGGCGAAAGCCUGACGGAGCAACGCCGCGUGAGGGGUGAAGGCCUCUGGGCUGUAAACCUCUUUUUUCAAGGAAGAAGACCUGACGGUACUUGAAGAAUAAGCCACGGCUAAUUCCGUGCCAGCAGCCGCGGUAAUACGGGAGUGGCAAGCGUUAUCCGGAAUUAUUGGGCGUAAAGCGUCCGCAGGCGGCCCUGAAAGUCUGUCGUUAAAGCGUGGAGCUCAACUCCAUUUAAGCGAUGGAAACUACAGGGCUAGAGUGUGGUAGGGGCAGAGGGAAUUCCCGGUGUAGCGGUGAAAUGCGUAGAUAUCGGGAAGAACACCAGUGGCGAAGGCGCUCUGCUGGGCCAUAACUGACGCUCAUGGACGAAAGCCAGGGGAGCGAAAGGGAUUAGAUACCCCUGUAGUCCUGGCCGUAAACGAUGAACACUAGGUGUCGGGGGAAUCGACCCCCUCGGUGUCGUAGCCAACGCGUUAAGUGUUCCGCCUGGGGAGUACGCACGCAAGUGUGAAACUCAAAGGAAUUGACGGGGGCCCGCACAAGCGGUGGAGUAUGUGGUUUAAUUCGAUGCAACGCGAAGAACCUUACCAGGGUUUGACAUCCUGCGAAUCCCUUGGAAACGAGGGAGUGCCUUCGGGAGCGCAGAGACAGGUGGUGCAUGGCUGUCGUCAGCUCGUGUCGUGAGAUGUUGGGUUAAGUCCCGCAACGAGCGCAACCCACGUCGCUAGUUGCCAGCAUUCAGUUGGGCACUCUAGCGAGACCGCCGGUGAUAAACCGGAGGAAGGUGUGGAUGACGUCAAGUCAUCAUGCCCCUUACAUCCUGGGCUACACACGUACUACAAUGCUACGGACAAAGGGCAGCAAGCUCGCGAGAGUUAGCAAAUCCCAUAAACCGUGGCUCAGUUCAGAUCGUAGGCUGCAACUCGCCUACGUGAAGGAGGAAUCGCUAGUAAUCGCAGGUCAGCAUACUGCGGUGAAUACGUUCCCGGGCCUUGUACACACCGCCCGUCACACCAUGGAAGUUGGCCACGCCCGAAGUCGUUACUCCAACCCUU